UACCAGCACCCCGAGUGGUCGGGACGAUUAUUGGGCCUAAAGCAUCCGUAGCCGGUUCUACAAGUCUUCCGUUAAAUCCACCUGCUUAACAGGUGGGCUGCGGAGGAUACUAUAGAGCUAGGAGGCGGGAGAGGCAAGCGGUACUUAGUGGGUAGGGGUAAAAUCCGUUGAUCCAUUGAAGACCACCAGUGGCGAAGGCGGCUUGCCAGAACGCACUCGACGGUGAGGGAUGAAAGCUGGGGGAGCAAACGG
rnacentral:rRNA from 1 species